rnacentral:tRNA from 1 species
UUAACUGAAGCUAAAGAGAAGCAUUUCACUGUUAAUGAAAAAAUUGGAAACACCCAGUUAAA